AAUGCUUGUAAAGGCCAGACCCCAGAUCCAGGCUCCCAACUCAAUUCAAGUCGCUCAACAAUCAAUAUAGCGUGCAAAAGGAAGAGUCGAGAACAUUUAACAAGACCGGAUAUGGCACGCUCCCUGUUCUGGCUCGUUUCCAUCUUCUCCAUUAUCUCUAUCGCCGCUUGCAUCGAUGACAACUGUGCUGCUUGCAAUGCCGUUGCGGCAGAGCUAGAGAUUCAACUCUCGAAGGAAAAACCAAGGAACCAUUUGGAUAUGAGACAUCGUUUGGACUCCAAAGGUCAACGCCAAGGAAAGGUCAUUGAUUACAGGAUGAGUGAGCUUAGAGCUGUUGAACUUUUGGAUGGGCUUUGUGAAAAAAUGCAAGAUUACACUCUUGAAAAGAUAGAUUCAUCCCAAAGAGAGUGGAUCAAAGUGGAUAACUGGGACAUCCUCACUAUUGAUAAACAAGAAGCUAAGGCAUACUCAACAGAUAUAUCCUCUUAUUGUGGAAGGUUACUGGAGGAAACUGAAGAUGAGUUGACAGAAUUGAUAAAGAAAGGAUCCAUUAAGGUAGGAGAUGUAAGCAAAGUUCUGUGCCAGGAUUUGAGCAAGCAGUGCAGCGGGUUAAGCCUGAAGUCACCUAACUAAUGCAAGUGGAACUUGGAGGCAUAUGUUGACAAUGAAGGGCGGAUUGUCCUCAAUCAUUUCUGCAAUACAUUCCCUUCGUGUAACCAGAAACCAUGAUGGCCAUUCUGAGGUUGAUGAUGAUGAUGAUGAUGAGUUAUAAAUCAUUGAAAUCACCGGGCUUCAUCUGGAGAAGAGAUUCUAUAAACAAAUUAACUCCAUGGAAAAAAGUUUCCUUCUGUUGCAGCAUUACCGAAGUAGUUUGACUGUUGAAAUGAGUCUUCUUUCUGAAACUAAAAAACAAAAUUUGGCUCUUUGGAUCAUGUGUUAAUUGCUUCGAACUUCAAUUUUUUUACUCGUGCGACUCUAGCAAAUCUCAAUCAAUCAAAUCAAAAUUUGUUGCCUUGA